GACUACCCGGCUGAACUUAAGCAUAUCAAUAAGGCGGAGGAA
rnacentral:rRNA from 1 species